rnacentral:rRNA from 1 species
AAAACGGAGAGUUUGAUCCUGGCUCAGGAUGAACGCUGGCGGUAUGCUUAACACAUGCAAGUCGAACGGUCUUUUCGGAGAUAGUGGCGGACGGGUGAGUAACGCGUGAGAAUCUAGCUUUAGGUCGGGGACAACCACGGGAAACUGUGGCUAAUACCGGAUAUGCCGAGAGGUGAAAGGCUAGCUGCCUGAAGAUGAGCUCGCGUCUGAU